rnacentral:rRNA from 1 species
GAUGAACGCUGGCGGCGUGCCUAAUACAUGCCAGUAGAACGCUGAAGGAAGGAGCUUGCUCUUUCCGGAUGAGUUGCGAACGGGUGAGUAGCGCGUAGGUAACCUGCCUGGUAGCGGGGGAUAACUAUUGGAAACGAUAGCUAAUACCGCAUAACAGUAGAUGUUGCAUGAUAUCUACUUAAAAGGUGCAAUUGCACCACUACCAGAUGGACCUGCGUUGUAUUAGCUAGUUGGUGAGGUAACGGCUCACCAAGGCGACGAUACAUAGCCGACCUGAGAGGGUGAUCGGCCACACUGGGACUGAGACACGGCCCAGACUCCUACGGGAGGCAGCAGUAGGGAAUCUUCGGCAAUGGACGGAAGUCUGACCGAGCAACGCCGCGUGAGUGAAGAAGGUUUUCGGAUCGUAAAGCUCUGUUGUAAGAGAAGAACGAGUGUGAGAGUGGAAAGUUCACACUGUGACGGUAUCUUACCAGAAAGGGACGGCUAACUACGUG